AGGAAUAUUGGUCAAUGGGCGAGAGCCUGAACCAGCCAAGUAGCGUGAAGGAUGACUGCCCUAUGGGUUGUAAACUUCUUUUAUAAAGGAAUAAAGUCGGGUAUGUAUACCCGUUUGCAUGUACUUUAUGAAUAAGGAUCGGCUAACUCCGUGCCAGCAGCCGCGGUAAUACGGAGGAUCCGAGCGUUAUCCGGAUUUAUUGGGUUUAAAGGGAGCGUAGAUGGAUGUUUAAGUCAGUUGUGAAAGUUUGCGGCUCAACCGUAAAAUUGCAGUUGAUACUGGAUAUCUUGAGUGCAGUUGAGGCAGGCGGAAUUCGUGGUGUAGCGGUGAAAUGCUUAGAUAUCACGAAGAACUCCGAUUGCGAAGGCAGCCUGCUAAGCUGCAACUGACAUUGAGGCUCGAAAGUGUGGGUAUCAAACAGGAUUAGAUACCCUGGUAGUCCACACGGUAAACGAUGAAUACUCGCUGUUUGCGAUAUACUGCAAGCGGCCAAGCGAAAGCGUUAAGUAUUCCACCUGGGGAGUACGCCGGCAACGGUGAAACUCAAAGGAAUUGACGGGGGCCCGCACAAGCGGAGGAACAUGUGGUUUAAUUCGAUGAUACGCGAGGAACCUUACCCGGGCUUAAAUUGCAGAUGAAUUACGGUGAAAGCCGUAAGCCGCAAGGCAUCUGUGAAGGUGCUGCAUGGUUGUCGUCAGCUCGUGCCGUGAGGUGUCGGCUUAAGUGCCAUAACGAGCGCAACCCUUGUUGUCAGUUACUAACAGGUUCCGCUGAGGACUCUGACAAGACUGCCAUCGUAAGAUGUGAGGAAGGUGGGGAUGACGUCAAAUCAGCACGGCCCUUACGUCCGGGGCUACACACGUGUUACAAUGGGGGGUACAGAGGGCCGCUACCACGCGAGUGGAUGCCAAUCCCCAAAACCUCUCUCAGUUCGGACUGGAGUCUGCAACCCGACUCCACGAAGCUGGAUUCGCUAGUAAUCGCGCAUCAGCCACGGCGCGGUGAAUACGUUCCCG
rnacentral:rRNA from 1 species